UAAGAAGAAUCAAGCAAAGCACUCCAUUUUCUUGGGAGUAAGCUUUUAAGCUAGCACCUCGCCGAGUUGACUUCAAAUCUCACCUUUAUUCGAGCUGUUUAUUUUAGUUCUUCUUUUUUUGGAUAAAGUUUAAGCUUGUUUUGAUCGUUUUUCUACUUUACUGGGAGCUGGAAAUGCAAAGUUGCUAGUACCUUUUUUUGGCUUCAGCUCCGUUUGCUCCUCAUGGUCCUGGGUAGGUAGCAGAUGGCAGUCAGGGGAUUCUGAUUAGAUGCAGAUGAUCACCAGAUCUUUAUAAUUUAUAAUGGAGUUAGUAUAAUGAGAGCAUGGAGAUGGAGAGCAUGUGUCCGUUGCAUUAGGAUAUUCACACUGCAUUUUUUUCCAACUACCUUUUCAUGCUUACAAAAGAGUAUCCAAGCAAUUGGAGCUACUCUAUAUACUUUUUAAACACUGACAUCUUUCAGAAAACUAGAAAAAUCCCAAGAUUUGCAAGUUGGAGAAAGGAAAUAAAUGGAAUGGUUAUUUUAACAGAGCUUUCUUUCUACCUUUAAAUCCAAAGCGCCCACCGGAAUCUUCAGAGUACUUCAAUGCAGAGCCUCCCCUUUUCAUGAUCACAUCAGAAUUUUUUGCCCCUUUAGAAAAAAAAAAGCAUCAGAAUAUUUCGUGACUAAAUGGAUCAUAACUGUGCACGCAAGUAAAUAUCUUUCCCUUGUCUCCAUGAUCCGCGAAAGUUCUUGUCCCUUUCUUGUCAAUUUUUACAUGUCUCCAAAUUUGACUUGCCUUGCCAACUUUCCCAGCUCUGACUGAGUUGUUGCUGCUGCUGAUGAUGAUGAUGAAUCUUUCACAGGGACCAAGAAGC
rnacentral:lncRNA from 1 species